UACGAAGGGUGCGAAGCGUUACUCGGAAUUACUGGGCGUAAAGCGUGCGUAGGUGGUUUGUUAAGUCUGAUGUGAAAGCCCUGGGCUCAACCUGGGAAUUGCAUUGGAUACUGGCAGGCUAGAGUGCGGUAGAGGAUGGCGGAAUUCCCGGUGUAGCAGUGAAAUGCGUAGAGAUGUGGAGGAACACCGAUGGCGAAGGCAGCCCCCUGGGUCAAGAUUGACGCUCAUGCACGAAAGCGUGGGGAGCAACAGG
rnacentral:rRNA from 1 species